rnacentral:rRNA from 1 species
GGUGAACGCUGGCGGUAGGCCUAACACAUGCAAGUCGAACGGCAGCACAGUAAGAGCUUGCUCUUACGGGUGGCGAGUGGCGGACGGGUGAGGAAUACAUCGGAAUCUACUUUUUCGUGGGGGAUAACGUAGGGAAACUUACGCUAAUACCGCAUACGACCUACGGGUGAAAGCAGGGGAUCUUCGGACCUUGCGCGAUUGAAUGAGCCGAUGUCGGAUUAGCUAGUUGGCGGGGUAAAGGCCCACCAAGGCGACGAUCCGUAGCUGGUCUGAGAGGAUGGUCGGCCACACUGGAACUGAGACACGGUCCAGACUCCUACGGGAGGCAGCAGUGGGGAAUGUUGGGCAAUGGGCGCAAGCAUGAUCCAGCCAUACCGCGUGGGUGAAGAAGGCCUUCGGGUUGUAAAGCCCUUUUGUUGGGAAAGAAAAGCAGCAGGUUAAUACCCCGCUGUUCUGACGGUACCCAAAGAAUAAGCACCGGCUAACUUCGUG